CUGAAAAGAAUGGUGUAUAUUUAAUUGCUUAUACACCCUCAAAAUUUAAUUAUACACGGAGAGAAGAGUUGUAGUAUAUUCUACUUUACGCGUUUAGUCAGCGAAAAUUUAGUAACAACGACUAGAUAUAAAGUAGCAUUUACGAAACAUUGUAUAGUUCCGUUCUGUUGAUUUUACUAAACAGCGUAGUUGGAGAAACUGGCUGUUUAGUAAAAGUAACUACACAUUGCGCAGUACGUCAAUAUUUAAAGAUGGCGGCGGAACAGUGUCAAUACUAGUUUAAAAGUGAAACGUUCUGGUUUUUAAUUGUGAAAAUGAACAUUGCCGAAUUAUUAAACAAUUGGGGAUUUUCACAAUACGCUCAUGCGUUUGAAGGUAAGUUUCUAGGUACUCUAAGUGCUUCGCAGUAUGUAAAUCGUGUAUAAUGCACAAGGGCCAAACUCAUCACAUUCUAGGACUUUAAACUGCAAAUGCAUUAGUAAGUUUAAUCUUUUACAUUUGUUUGAUGUUUUUAUGUAAAAUUUUAGAAAAAAAACUUUUUUAAUUAAUUUAUAUUUUUGAAUUAAAUACGUUUGACAACUUUGUAACAAUGUUUAACGAUAAGUGAAUGCAAUGUAAAUAAGAUUAAUGUCGAACUGAUUACCUAACCUCAAAAUUGGCUUGCAUUAUUUUAAUUAAAUUAAAUGCAUUAAAUUAAAAAUGUAUUAUUUGUAAUUUUUAAAAUAUUUGUUUCGUAUUUUGUGUUAUUUCAGAAAACAAAAUUGAUGCAUUUGCUCUCAAUUUGUUGACGUUCGAAACGUUGGGGCCUUUAGUUCCUCCUGUAGGUGACCGAAUAAAAUUACUAAAUAAAAUUGAGGAAUUCAAGAAUAAUCAAGAAGUAUGUGAAAAAUCCAGAAAUAUCAUUCAACAAAUAGGUUAUGUGUAAUUAAAUUAGUGUUUUGCUCAAAAACAUUGUUUUCAUUUAUUAGGUAGUUGUUCAUUUCCCAAUUGGAAGCCAAUUUCCAGGAGAAGACGAAGCAAAUUCUCAGGAAUUUCAACAACCUGAGGGAAAUGCAGGGGCUACUGAGUUUCUUGAAAAUGAGGAUAAUAUUGUCGAAGAAUAUUUGAAGUGUCAAAGGGGAGAACGAAUAAGGGUUAAUUAUUUUGGCAAGCCUGGCCAAAAUAAACCAGCGGCGGAACGAUUUUUGGAUGUCACUCAUCAAAAAUUAUUAACGGAAUUAAUAAUUGAAAAUGAAUUAAAAUCGUCAAGCUCUGAGUAAUUUUUUCUUUUUUUUUUAAUUAGAAGGUUUCGUAUGAAUAAAAAACGAUAACUUUUUUUUUUGUUCAAGUUUCAUUUUAUUAUUUAUAAUGUUCCAAAAAGAUAUGUUUCGAUUUGAAUGUGUUUAGGAUUUCUACAAGUAGACUUUUGAAGCUGGCCGGAGAUAUAGAAAAAAUUUUUCCUAAUGAAAAGCAGGUAAAAAUCAUAAAUUGACAUAGAUAAUUCUACUAAUAUAUACACCUGCUUGAUUAUAUUAUACAAACAAAAUUAAAACCUCUCGUUUACAUUUUUCAGAGUAUAUACUACAUACCAUAUUCUUCAGUCAGAGUGAACCAUAAAGUCGUGAAAAAAAACAGCGCACAGGGAAAAUUGUGGUGGAAAUACCAUAAUCACUGUAAAGUUUUAAGAAAGGAUGGUGUGCGUACCAAGAGGAAAAGAAAUGAAUCACCAGCUGCAUCAAAUGUGCCUGAAUCUGCGGCAGCACUUCUUCUUUGGCUAGAGGGUCAGAUUGAAAUUACCGAUAAUCUCAAACAAAAGUGGAAAGAUACUGCCAUAUGUAGACACCAAAAAUUGAUGAACGAGCAAAUUGAAUGCAACACUUUGAUCAGAAGGUCCGGGAUUUGUGUGCUGAAUAGUUAUUUUAUGAAAUACCCUUUUCUGAGACAGCCAGGAGGACAUCAUUAUUUGGUAGGGUAUAAUUUGAAAUAUUUUUUUAUAAAAAAAUUUUUUUAAAUUAUCAUUAUUUAUUUUUAGUUGGAGGAUGAUUUUGUAACUAAAUAUCCUGAUUGUGAAAACAAACUCUUCGAAAAAUGGCCGUCUUUCAAAGGGAAAGUGAUUGAAUUGUCGAAAAAAUCAAAUGAUCUCAGUGACGCAGCUAUUCUUCUCGAAUUUUGUAAUUUAGUUACAGCCAUUCAAAAAUCCAAGCGGGUUUGUAAGACUUGGGUGGCAAAUGCCGAGGAAAUAAAAGAGGGGUUUCUUCUCCAUGUCAAGACUAUAGAUUCCUGCCAAUUGCACAUCGACAGAUUAAUCAACCGGGCCGUGCAAAAUAAACUGCACCUUUCACCAGUGGCAAUCAUCGUAGGAUCCGACAUUGAAAACAUAACUGAUAGCUACAGAUAUGUGGAUGGAAUUCAGUUUCGAGUAUCUUCUCCUCUACACGCUGUAGACAAAACAUUUAAGUGCAUUCAUGCUCUCCAUGCC